GACGUAGGGCGCGAGCGUUGUCCGGAUUUAUUGGGCGUAAAGAGCUCGUAGGCGGCUUGUCGCGUCGGCUGUGAAAACCCGCGGCUCAACUGUGGGCGGGCAGCUGAUACGGGCAGGCUGGAGUUCGGUAGGGGAGACUGGAAUUCCUGGUGUGAGCGGUGGAAAUGCGCAGAUAUCAGGAAGAACACCAAUGGCGAAGGCAGCUCUCUGGGACGGUACUGACGCUGAGACGCGAAAGCGUGGGGAGCGAACAGG
rnacentral:rRNA from 1 species